CGACGGCAUCUCCUCCACGCCUCUUCAGUUGUUGGAACGGGAAUGUCUCGGCCGAUGUCGGUUAUCCUGUGUUGAAUACCUAUUGCGAGGGCAUUGAGUUGGCUAAAAUGGUUCGUUUCCCGCCUUGUGCUGUCUCUCCACUUGGGGCGGCGGUGCGGGGUGGGCAAAUUGCGUUCGUCGGGUGUCGCACCUUGUUUGCUCUUACGGGCAUUCGGGAUGACGACCCUCGACGCUAUGCUAGAACUCUUGGGUACGGUUUAUGAUGUGGGUACGAGGUCAUUGGCCUCCCGGCUCCACAAACAAGCGUUCUACGCUUCGUGCGAACGACGGUCGGUUCGGUGUUUGGUCGUUCUCUCGUAGCUCGGUUCAAGCCGUGCCGACGUCGAUG
rnacentral:misc_RNA from 1 species